AAAUAAGAAACAAAAACUUGUAUUUAGUUUCGACCUAAAAUUUUGGUGCAGCACCACCCUUAUUUA
rnacentral:tRNA from 1 species